rnacentral:rRNA from 1 species
UACGAAGGGGGCUAGCGUUGUUCGGAAUUACUGGGCGUAAAGCGCGUGUAGGCGGGCCGGCACGUCGGUCGCUGAAAGCCCCCGGCUCAACCGGGGAAGCGGCGCCGAUACGACCGGCCUGGAGGGGGGUAGGGGGACCUGGAACUUCCGGUGGAGCGGUGAAAUGCGUUGAGAUCGGGAGGAACACCAGUGGCGAAGGCGACUUCCUGGCCUGUUCUUGACGCUGAGGCGCGAAAGCUAGGGGAGCAAACGGG